ACUUUAAGGGCCUGGAGCUGGCAGCCACCAGGUGCCUGACGAGGGCAGCCAUUUUGGAGGCAAGGGCUGCCUAUAUAAACAGGGCAGUUUGGCUGCUGGAGGCCAGGCAGCAACAUUGUUUUCAGCAGCCCUCCAGCCAGGCAAUCUGGAGCAGAGAAAGCAAUCUUCUAGAAGUCAAGAUAUUUGGAUUCUGGUCCUGUUCUGUGCCACUGCCUUUCUGUUCAGACUGAAUACCAACUCCUGGUCUUUGAUGCCAACUAUGUUCUUCAUCUGAUAGUUGACCUUUUCUAUAAAAACAAGGAAAAAAGGCACUAAAGCUUCAUCCUUCUCUGCAUCAUCAAUUAUUAGCUGACUUCCUGCUCAAUAAGAGACUUACACUGUCCUUGGUCACUUUCUUAUUUCUAAUAUAUUUAUAGAAUGUAUCUUACUGAUUUUUUUAUAUCCCUUGUUAGCUGUAUCUCAAUUUAUGCUCUGGUUUUCCUGAUUUUGUUCCUCCAUAUUUGUGCUACACUCUUAGAUAUAUACUCAUUAAUAUAGCUAAGUUUCCAUUUUCUGUAGGAAUCUUUCAAGUUUCAUGUAAUUGUUUAGGCUUUUGGUUUUUCCCAGUGGUGCCCAACCUUUUCACCCUGUGGGGCCACAUAGGCGGUGCCAAGUCUACCUCCAUGGGCUGGAUCCAGCUGGUGGGCCCAAACCAGCUACAGGAGGUUGCACAGCCCAACCAUGAUCUCUCUGCCUGAGGCAGGGGUGGGGAGCAGUACUGCCCUGAUCUGAAGGUGCAGGGGUUGGGGGAGGAGCAGCCCAACCCAUAUCCAGAUGAGCAGGGGGGAGCAGCCCAGCCCUGAUCUUGCUGCACAGGUAAUGUCCUGGAUGAGACUGGAUCCAGUUGUGUGGAGCUUCCACCACUCGCUCCUGCCAAAUUUUUUGAUCUGUGGUGGUUCCCGCAGACGACAUGUCAUGGCUUCAUGGGCCAGAGGUUGAGCAUCUCUGGCUAAGCCAACAAGGCCUUUUGCUACACUUCGUAUCACCAUUCAUAAUGGGAUAACAUGAUCCUGUGCUUUUAAUAUGAACUCUUUAAGGAACAACCAACUCAUCCUUUCCUUAGGCUUGGGAUCCCGCCUACCAAUUCUGAGUUUGUUAAAGCCUUCUUUUCUGAAGUCCAAAGUUUUGAUUCUGCUAUUCUGCUUUCUACCUUUCCUUAAUAUCAUGGACUCUGUUAUUUCUAUUGUUCUCACCCAAAUUGCCUUCCGCCUUCAGAUUCUCUACCAAUUCCUAUCAGUUGCUAUACAGCAAAUCAG